GUGGGCUUCUCCGGUCAAAGGGGGCUGUGGGGUAUCCUGUCAUGCUGGCGGUUUGUCCAGGGUCCCCCCGUGGCCGGAGGGGAGCCGAUGUGCUUAGGCCUGGAGGGCCGGUUUGUUGACUGGCAGGAAACAUCGCUACUGUGAGCCGUUUAGUGUUGCAAUGGUUUGAUAAGAUGAAGGACGCUGAAGUGGUUUAUCAUUUGUUACCAGGAGAUAAGACCUGAUUAGGAGGUGAAAGGCCGUGCAAUAUUUCAAUGGGGAUGCUGAGCUGCUGCUGUUUGAGACCGUAGGAAAUAAGCUGCCGUAGUGUUUACUACAGUGGUUUGAAAGCUUGUAGUAACUUGCUGUGACCUUUGUUGUCCUCCGGAAUAAAUACUAUACACUGGUGGAGGCCUCAUGCUCUCUGCAUUUUGCAAGCAGUUACAGCUUUAGUUUUUAACGUGCUACAAGCCUCAGUGUUUCCAGCGGGUCUCCCCGAGAGGGGGAAUUGCUUAAUAAAGAGGGGAGCGGUAAAUAGGUCGACGUGGAGAAGUCGGGCGAUAGCGCAAUAGAAAAACUUCCUUCUGCAGGAAUGCCCUGAACGUGUCAGUCCUCCGUAUUGCCACGUGCACCGGGUGAACUGCCAGGUUUCUUGCUCUCUCUGGGCUGCCCGUGGCUGUCGCUUUCAAACCAGCUUCUGUUCAAACCCUGGCUGUUUUGUGGGAAAAGAGCAUUCAGGAUGGUUUUGGCAGCGAUAGGGCAAGAAGAUGGAGACUGACACUAAGGGCAAACUUCCAGAGUAGGAGAGCAUUUUCAGCCUGAAAUAAGCAUUCCCAGGAGCUGCUCUGUGCUUUGAGGGGGAGGGUUCUGCGGAGCGGCCCAGGCUUCGCUGCAGAGUUGGGAACGGAGGGGACGAGGUGCAAAUCACCAGCGGGGAGGUGGGGGAGCAGCAGUGCUGACCUGAUGCCGUCUGAACUCCUCUUCUCUGAUUAAUGCCAAAGAGCGGAAAGAGAGCAAGAGGUGGAGACUCCCUUCCUUCCUGCAAUGCAUUUAUCAUGGCCACAGGAGCCGGAGAAAAGGCCACACAGCAGAAGCUGCAAACGUUCAGGAAGAUGACGUGCAGGACCUUGAAGAAGAAGUGGCUCUGACCAGCCUGUCGCCCAAUGGAAACUAUGAAGAAGCUGCUAGAGGCACGGGCACCUAGAGCCGCCGGGCACCCAGCAUGGGCCGUGUCCCGGAUCUGCCUGGUUGAUUUGGAGCUGUGAGAGGAAGAGCUGGCGCAUGCCCAAGCAUCCUCUCCUCUGGGGAGCAGCCGCUUGCCUUAAUUCGCCAGGGCCUUCUGUAGCUACCAACAGUUUCUAGCAUCCGUGCUAGCCAGCCCUCCUCUGCUCGCAGCCCUGCAGCAGCAGAGCCUUGCGGGGGCUGCGUCCCACUGCCCGUGGGGUGCCUGGAGCUGCCAGUUGGCAACGGGCUUUUGAGAAGCCCUUUGGGAACGUUAUCUUCCAGCUGGGCGUGAUGACAUGGGGAUUUGGGGUGUUAAAUGCUGCAAUCUGCCUGCAGAAAGAGGAACGCUUUCGAAUUCUGAACAAAAUUCCCUGCUGAGAGAGGCCUUUCAGGCUGGUCUCCCUGGCAAGAAGACUCUGCUGCCGUAUUUUCCUGCUUUAUUGGUGUUUUGAAGUUCCCUCCCACUCUCUGAUCAGA
rnacentral:lncRNA from 1 species